rnacentral:lncRNA from 1 species
CCAGUUCUUCCCCUAGUUUCUCUCUCUCUGUCUCUCUAUCUUCUUUCCUCCACAAGGUCGUCGUUGUCGGAUCGCAGUGAGCGGCUCUCUCUCUCUCCGUGUCUUUGUCCUUUCCCUUGCACAUGGUCAUCGUUGUCGAGCAGUGCUCACUACGAUUGCCUCCAAGUGUUGCUAUGCACCAACGUUUGGUUGUGAUCGCCAUUUCACAAUACCACUAGUAGUGUCGGAGAAGUUGCAGGAUGACCACGAACGACACAGCAUUGCUGUAGCAGCUUCUUGUACAGCGUGUGAUCGAUGGUGGUGUUCAUUUUUUUGUUAUUGUGUUGUAGGUGGUUUGAUUGUUUUUAGUUUUGCAAAUGGUCAUUUUUAGUGGUGGUGGUGGUGGUAGUGAUGUUGGUGGUUGUUUAGUGGUAGUGCUGUGAUGAUAGUGAUGCAGGUUAUUGUUGGUGGGUUGCAAGGCGACGGUGGUAGUUGUGGUACUUUCUAUUGGAGUGGGCAUUUGUGACCAUAUGACAUUAAAAUAGUUAAUGUGUAGUGAUUGGUGGUGGAGGUGAUUGUUUGUGGUGAGAGAUUUGAUAGUGGUGGUGGUGAUUUUUGUUGUCAAUGGAUUGGAUUUAGUGAUGGCAACUUUGUUGGUGGCGAUGUUGUAGUGAUGUUGUAUUGGUGGUGGCGAUAGCGAGCUGAGG